GUAUCCGAAGGAUGAUUUUAACCAUAGUAAUAAUCAAUUUAUCGAUAAAAUAUAAACUUUUCUUUGCUUGGCGUUUUAUCAAGGUGAUUCUUAGACAUUCUGUUUCUUUACUGUCCAAAAAUGAACAGUCAAUUAUUCUGAAGAUAAUUUAAAUUUUAAAUUAAGUUUCUUCCAAAAGUCAACUUAUUGAAUCAUGUUAUGCGAGUUCAAUAGGUGUCACUGUAGACCAUGUGAGAAAAGUUUUUCCCGUUAAUUAUUUCCAUUGAUUUUCCAAUCGCAUUAGGAUUUAUUUUUUAAUUAAAGCUCCGGUGCUCCAUUUUGGUGUUUCAAUGUGUAUUCAUAGAUGAAAGCAGAUAAAAUCAAGACAAACCUUAAAGUAGAGAUAGCACUAAAUGGAACAUUUUAUGGAUUAAAAGCUUGUUAAAACCAAGGAAACUAAUAAGCAAAUGAUGUCAGAUGUGUUGAAACAAGAUUUCUUAUUGCUGCUCAUCCUUUUGAUUGUCUAUUGUAUCAUUCUGCUGAUCCUGUUUCUAAUUAAAGUAAAACGAGCUCGAGCCAUGAGAGGAGUUUACUCACCAUCAGCUUAUGAACAAUAUCAAGUGACCAUACCUUACAUCAUCCGACCACCUCCAAUCGAGCGACUCAUCUAGUUGACAUCAACAUAAUGAAAUAAUUUCUUGACGAUGGAUCACGUCCAUAAACCACCUUCUUAACCACAUGAUAUUUAUACUGCAAUUGUUUUCUUCGCCCCAAAAGGAUCGGAUAUUUCAUCCGAACACACACCGACUUGCAUUUAAGUUCAUUUUGUUUCUGCCUUACCUUAUUAUUUUUUAUUGUAAAUUGUUGUCCAGAAAAGGUAAUCCUAGUAACCAAAGAGUAGUUACUCUUUGAACCCAAUUGUUUUGUUUAUAUUAACCACUGUAAAUGUUACCCAGGCUAGUCUAUAUCGAGUUACUAAUAUUGUGCUAAUUUUGUAUUCAGUUGAUUUUUAAAUAUACAAAUAUUUAUUUGUUCACCAUCGUUUAGUUAACAUAAUCAAAAGGUAAAGAGGAUUAAAGAAAUAAUCAAAGUGAAAAAAUUGCAUGAAAAAAACAAAUGAUCAUGUUGACAUUAAGAACAAGAGGAAAUAAUUACGUGAAGGAAUACAUUAAAUAAAUGAAAGUGAAAUAAUCAA